rnacentral:rRNA from 1 species
UACAACUCUGAGAGGUGGAUCACUCGGCUCGUGUGUCGAUGAAGAGCGCAGCCAACUGUGUGAAUUAAUGUGAACUGCAUAUUGCUUUGAACAUCGACAUCUUGAACGCACAUUGCGGCCACGGGUCAACCCGUGGCCACGCCUGUCCGAGGGUCGGCAU